rnacentral:lncRNA from 1 species
GUCAAAUCUCCCCGUAACUUCCAGCUUUAUUCUGAGUGUUGCUGCUUAGUUUAACUCAAAAUCCUUAUCGCAGAGGGAUCAUAAGGGUGGCAGAUCAAUCCAUACCAACGGAACAUACCCACUGCAAAUUAACACGCAGUGUACGUGUGUAUAGAUAGGGACACGGCACACGAGCUGCCAAUUAUGUCGUGCUUUAGAGGAAACUGCAGAGAAAAAGUCACGAAGAGAAGGCUGCCUGGUGAGGUGUCUCGAGAUGUAAAUGGCUCCUGCUGAAAAGGUGCUUGAAACAAGACUUCAUUGCUGAGCUACAGGGAUUAAGGGAAGGGAUUUUAUUUGCCUGCUGCAGUUAGAUGCAGCGUCCUCAAGGACCCCAGAAUUUGCAUGGAAACAUGGAGGAGAGGAGAGAGGAAAUAACCUUUACAGAAAGAAAAUCAGUCAAAUCAUCUUUAUCAUUCAAACAAAA